rnacentral:rRNA from 1 species
AACUUGUGCUAAUACCUCAUAAGUCUUUACGGAGAAAGCUUUAUGCGCCAUUGGAUGAGCCCGCACUUGAUUAGUUUGUUGGUGGGGUAAAAGCCUACCAAGACUGUGAUCAAUAGCUGAUUUGAGAGGAUGAUCAGCCACAUUGGGACUGAGACACGGCCCAAACUCCUACGGGAGGCAGCAGUAGGGAAUCUUGCACAAUGGAGGAAACUCUGAUGCAGCGAUGCCGCGUGAGUGAAGAAGGCCUUUGGGUUGUAAAGCUCUUUCGUCGGGGA